UACGGGGGGGGGCAAGCGUUUGUUCGGAAUUACUGGGCGUAAAGGGCUCGUAGGCGGCCAACUAAGUCAUACGUGAAAUCCCUCAGCUUAACUGGGGAACUGCGUGUGAUACUGGAUGGCUUGGAUUUGGGAGAGGGAUGCGGAAUUCCAGGUGUAGCGGUGAAAUGCGUAGAUAUCUGGAGGAACACCGGUGGCGAAGGCGGCAUCCUGGACCAAUAUUGACGCUGAGGAGCGAAAGCCAGGGGAGCAAAGCGGG
rnacentral:rRNA from 1 species